rnacentral:rRNA from 1 species
AUUGAACGCUGGCGGCAUGCUUUACACAUGCAAGUCGAACGGCAGCGCGGGCUUCGGCCUGGCGGCGAGUGGCGAACGGGUGAGUAAUGCAUCGGAACGUGCCCAGUAGUGGGGGAUAGCCCGGCGAAAGCCGGAUUAAUACCGCAUACGACCUGAGGGUGAAAGCGGGGGACCGAAAGGCCUCGCGCUAUCGGAGCGGCCGAUGUCGGAUUAGCUAGUUGGUGGGGUAAAGGCUUACCAAGGCGACGAUCCGUAGCUGGUCUGAGAGGACGACCAGCCACACUGGGACUGAGACACGGCCCAGACUCCUACGGGAGGCAGCAGUGGGGAAUUUUGGACAAUGGGGGCAACCCUGAUCCAGCCAUGCCGCGUGCGGGAAGAAGGCCUUCGGGUUGUAAACCGUUUUUGUUCGGGAAGAAAUCCUCUGGGCUAAUACCCCGGGGGGAUGACGGUACCGGAAGAAUAAGCACCGGCUAACUACGUG